rnacentral:rRNA from 1 species
UACAAAGGUUUCUUCAGACCAGAUAAAGAUUGGCUCUCAAGUGUAAAGGCAAAAGGGAGUUUGACUAUACGUUCCACUCGUCAAGCAAGGAUGAAAGUCGAUCUUAGU